GGGAAGAUACCGAAGUGGAAAACGAGGCGAUCUUUAAAACCCUUAGCUUAGAUUUCGUGGGUUCGAAUCCCACUUUUCCCA
rnacentral:tRNA from 1 species